GUUUUUAUGGUGUUAUGAAGCACAUUAGAUUUUCAUUCUAAAGGUGUAGAUUUGUGUUUACUAAAAAU
rnacentral:tRNA from 1 species